GAUGAACGCUGGCGGCGUGCCUAAUACAUGCAAGUCGAGCGGACGGACGAUAAGCUUGCUUCUCUGAUGUUAGCGGCGGACGGGUGAGUAACACGUGUAUAACCUACCUAUCAGACUGGGAUAACUUCGGGAAACGGGAUCUAAUACCGUAUAAUAUUUUGAAGCGCGUUGUUGAAAGGUAAAUUUCGGUGUUUCUGUCACUUAUAGAUGGUUCUCCGCUGCAUUGGCUGGUUGUGAAGGUACAGGCCUACCAAGGGAACGAUGCAUAGCCGAAUUGAGAGGCGGAUAGGCGACACGGGAACUUAGCCACGGUCCAGACUCCUGCGGGAGGGCGCAGUAGGCAACCGUACGCAAAGGGCGAAAGCAUGACGGAGCAAGGCGGAGCGAGAGAUGAAGGCCUUCGGAGCGUAAAAAUCGGCUACUAGGGAAGAACAGAUGUGUACGGAAAUGAGCACAUCUUGACGGUAACUAAUAAGAAAGCACCGGCUAACUACGUG
rnacentral:rRNA from 1 species